CACAGGGUUCCUCUGGGUUCCACAGGGUUCCUCUGAUUCCACAGGGUUCCUCUGGGUUCCACAGGGUUCCUCUGGGUUCCUCUGGGUUCCACAGGGUUCCUCUGGGUUCCUCUGGUUCCACAGGGUUCCUCGGGUUCCACAGGGUUCCUCUGGGUUCCACAGGGUUCCUCUGGGUUCCUCAGGGUUCCUCUGGGUUCCUCUGAUUCCUCAGGUUCCACGGGGUUCCUCUGGUUCCACAUGGUUCCUCAGGUUCCACAUGGUUCCUCAGGUUCCACAUGGUUCCUCAGGGUUCCUCUGGUUCCACAGGGUUCCUCUGGUUCCACAUGGUUCCUCAGGUUCCACAUGGUUCCUCAGGUUCCACAUGGUUCCUCAGGUUCCACAGGGUUCCUCAGGUUCCACAGGGUUCCUCUGGGUUCCACAGGGUUCCUCUGGGUUCCUCCUUCUGAACGGGUCUUAUGGUGUCAAAAUGUUUUGUCAGAACCGAAAUCUUAACAGUUCUAUCACUAAGUCCAGUAUCGGUUCCUGAAGGCCCAGCUAAGAACUUAUUGGUGCUAGAACUUUCAGUCCUGGAGAACCGAGGAUGAAGGAGGGACGAUAAAACCUCAUUAUUCUAAAUACUUGAUGGAACAAAUUCAGAGUAAUGGUACUUGGGUCAGAACCAGCUUGGGUUCUGGUUCCCUGCUGCCCACCGAGGUCAUUCUGAUUCUCGGCGGUUCCGGUCUUUGGACUCUGGAACCUGCUGCAGCUGUCGACGUAGAACAAGUGGAUCAAACGGGUCUGUGGUUCUGUGCGGUUCUGUGCGGUUCUGUGUAUCUUGCUGAGUGGGUUCAACGGUCAGACUGGUCCUGUUGGUGCCAGAACCAGAGGCCCGGAUAGUGCGGUCUCCAGGUUCCAGCCGGGUCCAGUUGGGUCGGGUCAGCAGAACCUGAGGCUCUAAGAACACGAGACGGACUUCUAGGUCAAAAUGUGGACGUAGACGGAACCAAGGGAACGUGGGCCUGGUUCUGCCUGGUUCUGGCUUAGUGGGCCUUUAUUCCUCCUGUGAGGAGCCAAGUUCUGCUGCUGGUCCCGCAGACGUAAACCAGAACCGCGGUCGGACCCGGGUAGGUCCAGAACCAGGUCCAGAACCGCGGUGGGACCCGGGACGGUCCAGAACCGCGGUGGGACCCGGGAAGGUCCAGAACCAGGUCCAGAACCGCGGUGGGACCCGGGACGGUCCAGAACCGCGGUGGGACCCGGGAAGGUCCAGAACCAGGUCCAGAACCGCGGUGGGACCCGGGUAGGUCCAGAACCAGGUGGGACCCGGGACGGUCCAGAACCAGGUCCAGAACCUCGGUGGGACCCGGGACGGUCCAGAACCAGGUCCAGAACCGCGGUGGGACCCGGGGCGGUCCAGAACCAGGUCCAGAACCUCGGUGGGACCCGGGACGGUCCAGAACCUCGGUGGGACCCGUGACGGUCCAGAACCAGGUCGGACCCGGGACGGUCCAGAACCGCGGUGGGACCCGGGGCGGUCCAGAACCAGGUCCAGAACCAGGUCGG